GAUGAACGCUGGCGGCGUGCCUAAUACAUGCAAGUCGAGCGAAUGGAUUAAGAGCUUGCUCUUAUGAAGUUAGCGGCGGACGGGUGAGUAACACGUGGGUAACCUGCCCAUAAGACUAGGAUAACUCCGGGAAACCGGGGCUAAUACCGGAUAAUAUUUUGAACUGCAUGGUUCAAAAUUGAAAGGCGGCUUCGGCUGUCACUUAUGGAUGGACCCGCGUGGCAUUAGCUAGUUGGUGAGGUAACGGCUCACCAAGGCAACGAUGCGUAGCCGACCUGAGAGGGUGAGCGGCCACACUGGGACUGGGACACGGCCCAGACUCCUACGGGAGGCAGCAGUAGGGAAUCUUCCGCAAUGGACGAAAGUCUGACGGAGCAACGCCGCUUGAGUGAUGAAGGCUUUCGGGUCGUAAAACUCUGUUGUUAGGGAAGAACAAGUGCUAGUUGAAUAAGCUGGCACCUUGACGGUACCUAACCAGAAAGCCACGGCUAACUACGUGCCAGCCGCCGCGGUAA
rnacentral:rRNA from 1 species